CGUAAAUAAGGGAAUGAAUGUCUCCCUCAGUGAUGCUGGAACCGCAAAUGAUUGCUAAUGACUUCUACAGGCUU
rnacentral:ncRNA from 2 species